AGAGCUCCGAUUUUUCUCAGCGCCCUUUCCAGCCUUAGGUAUUUCUCGAGCUACCCCCAUUUCUGCACCUUUGCACCUCUCCAAAUCGCUUAGGUUAGUCUCGGAACUCCUUCCUCUUUUUGUUCUUCCUUUUGCCGUUCGAUCUUUCUUCCUCUUGCUCUGCACGUCAGUCCCCCGAGACCUUGUCCGCGAUUUUCCUCAACUUUUAGGGAUUUCUCCUCUGUAAGUGGU
rnacentral:lncRNA from 1 species